CGUGGCAUUUCAAGCUACACAAAGAGAUGUAACUUUCAUCUUUAUUAUUCUGAUUAGGGAUAAAGUAACUCAGCGUGAAAUGAACAGUGGUGUCACGAGCGAGAACACUACCUACAAUCACGACAUCAACACAAAAAUGACAGCACAACAUGUAACAGUGCACAGCUGGUCCUGCAGAGGCGGAGCCUCCGGUGCAUACCUGCAAGUAAUUACUCACCUGGUCUCGUUAAGCAUGGCAGAAGAACUCAUUCGGUGCCAGAUUGUACCUCAGACUUCACCCGCUCUACCCUGCUUGGUGUUGUUGCUUGUUUCGUGAAGUUUCGUGAAGCAUUGCCUGUACUGUGAGUAAUACUUGCUUGGUUUUUCCAGCAGAGGCGUGUUUUUUUGUACUUCAGCAUUGUCUAUCUCCCUGCUUGGUUUGUCCAGCAGCAUCCUUCCUUCCAAUUCUGUGUUAGUGUUUUUUCCUGCCAGACCUUUUUACCUGGCAGCAUUUUGUGUGUGGCUUAGCCCAGUACGUACAUUUGGACUUUAUUUACCAUUAUAAAGUAUUCUUUUGUACUGUAUGUAUUUUUACUCCAUUGGAGAACCUUUUUGUUCUUCAUCGGAUUGUGUCUCUUUGCAUUUGGGAUUCAAACUCUGGCUUACGCCGUUUUGUGACAGAAACAAUGGUAGUUAAAUGAGUGUUUUAUUGCUGGAUUUGAUCAAAGUGUGUAGCUGUCACUUUUAUUGCGGAGGAGAAGGGGUUCAACGAGUCGUGUACACACAUAGGAACUAAUGUACUAAAAGUUGCUCUUCAGUCUGCGUCGCCGUGAAGUGAGGUCAGAUUUUUUUGGGAGAUGCACAUCAAGCUACACAGGAGGGUUUGGACUGGGAGGAAUGAGCUGCAGUAGCGUACCCCUGCACCUUGACACAGCAACACAAUCCAUGCUUCAUACAAUCGUACCAGUCGUACCUGCUGUCUUUAAUUUGAAAUGAAUCCAGAUACGUCCCUUGCCUUACUAAAACGGUGCUUAUUUUGGCCAUCUUUUUUUUUUUCGCAAAAUGGGCCUCUUCUGUCCAGGGUUUAAGAGGUUAAGAUUUCUAG